CAAAGCUUCAUCAAUUCUUUUAUUGAGUACCUGGGCAAUUUUUAAUAACUCUUUACUGGUGCAAUCUUUAAAAUCUGAAAUACUACGGGAACAAGUUGAACCCGAAGGACUGACUUUGGAUAUUGACUUUGUGGCAGAUUCUGACUCCUUUUCUUUAAUGGCCGGAGAACGGGCACUGACUGGGAGAGCUGGGAUCGGGGCAACAGGAAAUUCCUGCUGAACCUGAGUGACUAUUCUAUCAAUGUUGAAUUUAUCCCACCACUUAAUGUAAAAGAGGCGAGAAACUCGGGGAAGUGGAUCAUUAGGAAUGCUGGUGACUGGAGAUCCUGGGGGUGAGAGACAGUACUCCCAUUUAAGGAUCCAAGGAAUUUUGUAUUUACUGACGAAUAAAAGAGUGGGAGGAACCCCUUCAUUCAAAGGGAUAGGU
rnacentral:lncRNA from 1 species